AACAGAAUCCAGCUCCAGGAGAGCUCUCGGGUUUUUUGGCAGUAGAGUCCUAGCGAGGGGAGGCAAGGUGGGUGUGCGUAGCCCUCCCCACUGCUGGAAAGGGCAUUGCUGAGGCAGAAGAAAGGGAUGGCAGGGAGUGGGGGGAAUGUGGCUGCUUCACCCUAGAGCCAGCGCAAGUGGAGUCCCUCAGAGGCCAUUGUUAAGAGGCUCGACUCUGGAACCAGAUGGCAGAUGCCUUGUUCCCUGGUAACUGCGAGACCUUGGCCAAGUCACUGUCCCUCUUUGGGUGUCAAUCUUCCCAUCUGUAAAAUGAGGGGAUGGGACUAGUUUGUCUUACAGGCUCUUCGGAGCUCUCAGUUUUGAGUUUCAAAAUAUGCAGUUGCUGAGAUUACAAUUUAUGUUUAACUCCUCGAAUCUUUACACUGAACUUUGGCUGAUCACAGGAACCUUAUCCUGGAGUAGGAACUGCACCCUCUUUCCCUGUUUUCCCAGAGCUUGCAUCCCAGGUGGUUAGCACCGUUUACUAAGCAUAUUCAUACACUGAACAUAUUCCUGAGCAUAUUAACAUUAUGAAGCAUACUAAGGAAGUCCACCUUACUACAAAGAACAUCAGAUUUCAAACCUGCAGAACCUGCUUAUUUGUCUUGGUUCUACACCUAAAUAGCUUGCUUACCUUGGAAUCCCCCCUUUCCUGGGCCUCCAUUUAGCCACCUGUUAACAGUGCAGGGUUGGGGGGGUGCACGGGUGGCUCAGUCGUUAAGCGUCUGCCUUCAGCUCAGGUUAUGAUCCCGGGGUCCUGGGAUCUAGCCCCACAUCGGGCUCCCUGCUCAGCAGGGAGCCUGCUUCUCCCUCUCCCACUCCCCCUGCUUGUGUUCCCUCUCCUGCUGUCUCUCUCUCUCUGUCAAAUAAAUAAAUAAAAUCUUUAAAAAAAACCCCAAAAAACCAAAAAAACAGUGCAGGGUUGUGCUUAAUGCCCCUAAGAGCUCUUCUUAGCUCAGGCAUUUCAGGAUUCUAAGUGCCCUGGGACACGUGUGGUGUUACUUCCUUUUUUUCUUUAUUUUUUAAAAAAGAUUUUAUUUAUUUAUUUAUCAGAGAGAGAGCGUGCACAAACAGGGGAAGGUGCAGACAGAGCAGGCAGAGGGAGAAGCAGGCUCCCCUCUGAGCAGGGAGCCCGACGUGGGACUCGAUCCCAGGACCCUGGGAUCAUGACCUGAGUCAAAGGCAGACGCUUAACCGCCUGAGCCACCCAGGCACCCCUUUGUGUGGUGUUACUUCUAAGCAAGAGCUGCUUUGGGUGCCAGAAAGGGGUACUUAUGUUUGCCUUAGCAUAGAGGGCUGGUACUCACUCACCCCGAAUAGCUCAGCAGCUGGUCCAUCACCCCACUUUUCUAAGCACCUCCCUAUGUGCAGCACCCUGUGCCAGGAGCCAUGGAGGCCACGAGAAAGAUGGGACUCCUAUGUUAAGGAAGUAUAGUCAGGUCGGGAGAGAAGACCCAAGACACACGUGCAUGACUAAUCAGAAGUUCAAGAUGGGGUAUGCUCAGGUCCAAGUGGACUGCCAGCCCUUUUACUCACUGCCCAUAUUUGCAUCCCCAGAAACUAGAGCAGGACCUGGCUCACAACAGGGACUUGGUGGAUGUUUAUCCAUCUAAUGGAGAAAUGAGGGUGAGACUCUACUGGCCUGAAAACUCCCCAGAGGAGACAAGGCUUGACACUCAGGUAGAACUGAAUGGGGGUAGUGAUAGCCCAUGGGUGGUACCCAACCAUCCCAGAGGCAGACUUCCAGGCCUCAUUAUUCCUGCAUCCUAAGGCCUGAGGUUUGAUGUACUAAGUUCAUAACCUGUUGCUUUGGAUUCAACUUUGGAAAUAUCCACAGCCUUCUGGUUAUGUAAUGUCCAGAGUCAGCCCUGGCUAGGUGCCCUUGGCUGCCCAAGCCUGGUCAUGGGACCAGCUUAUGUCUUCAGACAGCCAUGGGGAGAGAAGAGUGUGGAGGGGGGAACCAAGAAAUCAACAACAACCAAAGAAACCCCCACUGUACAGCCCCUGGCAGCCAGUGAGCAAAUGCCAAAGCAUGUUAGACAAAGCAGAGGUUCAGGCAACACUCCCUCCCCCAUGCCGCCCCACUCUGGAACAACCCAUCACAGUAUGGACACUCUGGCCAGCAGAUCUGAGGGAACAGCUGGGAGACAGUGGUUCCUAAGCUUGCCUAGCUUCCCUGCUUCUUUUGGGGCCUGGACACUAGGGUGAUCAGAAGGUCCCAUUCCCCCCUCGCUGGUGUCAGGCCAGCCUCUGGGGGGUUGUUCGGAGGUCAAAUUACAUUUGUUCAUGCAUCAGCUUCAGAGCACACACACCCACUCCCAGGCUGGUGGCAUCACACUAUCCAUUCGCUAUCUUUUACCCGGAUUCAUGGAACCAGGGUGUAGGGCACUGGAAAGUAAAAUUCCUUGUUUUACUUCUGACAUAGGCUCAAAGGGGAAAUGACUUGCCCAGUCAUGCAUUUAAUUAAAGACAGAUCUGGUUUCCAAACUAGGGUGCUGGGAUUCCUUCCCAAUCCUGUGUGUUCUUUACAUGGCUCCCCAAAUCUCCCUGCCAUCUCGCUUUGAUCAUCAAUCACUAUGUAAUGCCUUUUUAUUAACUCUGCCCCUCCUACCAGCCAAAUAUUACAUAACUCGUAGAAGGGUCAUUGCCCUUCUGUCCUGAGAGGCCACUGAAUUCUGCUGGUCUCCAGGGAGCAGUCUGCUAAUCAGGUAUGGGGUGUAGGGAUUGGAGUAGUUCAUCUAACCUUCCCCCUCCCUUCCUCUCUCCUUCCUUCUCACUCUCUCUGUGCUGAGCACUGUGCUUCAGGCUGGGGAUACCCAGAUAAUAUUUGUUACAAUGAAUAUAAGACUCUAUUCAAGUGAUAUGUACCAAGCUACUGUGUACCAGGCAUUCUGCUAAGCCUUUGCAUGGAUCAGACCUCAUAACAACCCUAUGAAGUAGAUACACAUUAUCCUCUAAUUUACAGGUGAGGCAGCCGAGACCUGGAAGGGUCAUGUAACAGUCAAGUUCAUAGGACUAGAAAGUGGCAGACGCCAGGGAAGCUAUAGAGCCUUUGCCAACAGGGAGAUUACAGAGCAGUGGAGCUGUGGGCUGAUUCAUCAUUCCUGCCCCCUUGGGGCCUACCCCACCCCAUUUGUAUGUAGUUCCACAAGGGAACAAAAAGAGGUUAGCUUGGGUUUGUUCGUUUGUCAACCAGCAGUGUAGCUCUUGACUUGCAACAUCCUGCAAAGGGUGCAUUGAAAACUCUGUGGGAGAGAAGGAGGAGAGGCCAGUAGAGGCGAGCCUGCAUGAGUUUUGGCACUGGUCCCUAGGUGGCUUUGUUCUGGUGGAUUAGAGUCUACCCCAGAGAGUCGGACGGGGUGAGCAAGGGCUCCCUUAGAGCAGAACUAAAGGAGCUCGGAGAACAUGAGAAUUUGAGCCUCCCUGUCUCACCUCUCCCUCUGUCUCAGAGUUCCCACCUCCUCCGCUCGAACUUCUCACCCAGAUGAAAGGCAGGCAGACCCUCUCCCAUAUGCUAAUUCCAGAACCUCUGGUACACAUUACAGGCAGAGACACACGCACAGGUGUGUGUGGGGGGAGUGUACGAAUGUUAAGGGAGCUUAUUGCAAACUCAAACGUGGAGACAGCUGGAGCAGUUGCCAGAAUUGGUCACUCCAAUCUGUCGGGACCUUAUCUCCUAUCGGGACCAUGAGAAAGCAGUCCGCUCUGCCAGGAGCUGCAAUUUGUGCAGUGGAGACAUGCUCCCAGGCUAGCACGGCAGGGGACAGCACGUGGGGAACAUCAUGUCCCAGCUGGUCCUGGCAGGGGCGUUCCAUGGGAAGGCCCACUGGUCAUGUGCUUUGCAUGUCCUGACUCUGGGCAGGACAGAUUUGCUGGGCAAUUGGAAUGCUUGGCCCCUGGGGACUUCCUUCAGUGGUUUGUCUAAUCAAAUGAGCACUAUUGCAAGGUCUUGCCUUUGAAGCUCCAGCUGGAAGCCUCUCUGACCCUCCAGCCCACAGGGAGCCAUUCUCCUUCUCAUUGCCUGUAACUCUUUCUGGUCUGGGGCUCUCAGCUAGCCCUCAACAGAGAAGGCCUGCAUCCUCAUGUGCUCUGCUUUUCUCUUAUAGAGAAGGAAAAACUUUGGUUGUACUUAUCUCAGUCUAGUAUCUAAUGUCUCUGAAACGCAGUUGCUUGGUCUGCAAAUGCGAAUAAGUUGUGGGUUUAAAGGAGUUCAUGGUGUAAAGCAGCAUCCAGCACAGUGCUCAUCUUCAGGCAUGCUGGCCGUAUUUGACAGGAUGGUGAUAUUUCAUGCUGUCAAUGCAGAGUGAAAACCAGGCAUUCCAUAAGAAAUAUUCAAAGCCCCCAGAUUCAGAAAUUUCCUUCUUAACACUAUUUCUCCCUUCACCCCAAGGGAAGCUAAAUUCUUCAAACUCUUGUGUACAUGCUACCUCUUGGGAGGCCCAGAGGCUUAUAGAGUCCAAUGUGGUGUGUGUCUACACACGACAGAACAUUAUUCAGCCUUAAAAAAGAAGGACAUCUUGGGGCGCCUGGGUGGCUCAGUUGUUAAGCAUCUGCCUUCAGCUCAGGUCAUGAUCUCGGGGUCCUGGGAUCAAGCCCCACAUCGGGCUCCCUGCUCCGCAGGAAGCCUGCUUCUCCCUCUCCCACUCCCCCUGCUUGUGUUCCCUCUCUUGCGGUGUCUCUCUCUGUCAAAUAAAUAAAUAAAAUCUUUAAAAAAAAAAAAAGAAGGACAUCUUGUCAUUUGUGACAACACAGAUGAACGUGGAGGACAUUAUGCUAGGUGAAAUAAGCUAGACACAAAAAGACAAAUACAGCAUAAGCUCACUUUUACAUGGAAUCUAAAAAAGUUGAACUCACCAUUGAACUUCUCACAGAAGAAGAGUAGAAUGAUGGCCACUAGGGGCUGGGAGGUAGUGGAAAUGCGGAGAUGUUGGUCAAAGGGUAAAAAUUUUCAGUUCUACAGAACUAAGAUGAGUAAGGUCUGGAGAUCUAAUGUACAGCAUGGUGACUAUAGUUAAUAAUACCAUAUAGAAUACAAUAAAUUUGCUAAGAGAAUCACACACACACACAAGGUAACUCUGGGAGGGAUGGAUGUGUUAAUUAUCUUGAUUGUGGUGACCAUUUCACAGCGUAUACAGACAUCAAAACAUCAUGUUUUAUGCUCUAAAUAGAUGCAUUUUUAUUUGUCAAUCACACCUCAAUAAGCUGGAGAGAGAGAGAGAGAACACAACCCACUUAAUAUGAAGUUCCAAACCAGCUUUAAAUCCCUGCAUUAAGAGAUAAGGUUGGGCAAAGGGAUAUAGAAAGAAGAGGACCAAAGCCUUCCCUCUGCCGAUAUGAAUUCAAGUAGAACUAGUUUUAAGUUGACUUUUACUGAAUGUUGUGCACCAAGUACUAUUCUAAGUCAUUUAAUUCUCAAAAACACCAUAUAAAGUAAAUACUUUGCCUCAUUUUACGGGUGAAGAAACUGAGACCCAAGGAGUUUAAGUGGCUAAUAAGUGGCAGAGACAAGGUUCAGACUGGCUGGCUGUCUCCAGAACCUGAGCUGACCAUUAAUCCUCCAAUGCUUUGACUAGAUUUGACUGUGUUUUCCAAUUCUGAAAGUCUGUGAUUCUCUGAUGUCAGGGCAUUACAAACCUAUCAUGACCCUCCUAAAUUUGUCAAACCAGUUCUCAGUCUCUAUGAAUAUAGACCUAAUGUACUUGCAGGGUCAAUAUUUAGGUCAAGAUGGGAUGAUUAUAAAGAAAAGAUAACGAGACGCCCGGAGCCAGUGAGGUGAGGACCAUGUUGCUUCUGAACAUCCUGCUCACCGGUACACCAGGGGUUGGAAAAACCACACUAGGCAAAGAACUUGCAUCAAGAUCAGGACUGAAAUACAUUAAUGUGGGUGAUUUAGCUCGAGAAGGGCAGCUGUAUGAUGGCUAUGAUGAAGAGUAUGAAUGCCCCAUUUUAGAUGAAGACAGAAUAGUUGAUGACUUAGAAAAACCGAAUGAGCGAAGGUGGAGUUAUUGUUGAUUACCAUGGUUGUGAUUUCUUUCCUGAACGCUGGUUUCAUAUAGUUUUUGUGCUGCAAGCAGAUAAGUGUAUUGUACGAAAGACUUGAAACAAGGGGUUAUAAUGAAAAGAAACUAAAAGACAAUAUUCAGUGUGAAAUUUUUCAAGUUCUUUAUGAAGAAGCAUUAGCAUCCUACAAGGAAGAAAUAGUACAUCAACUGCCCAGCAAUAAACGAGAAGAUCUAGAGGAUAAUAUCAAUCAGAUAUUGAAGUGGAUUGAACAGUGGAUCAAGGAUCAUAGCUCCUGACUUAUAAGACUGGCCACUUUACAACCACUCUUGUUAUAUCCCUGCCAUAAUGAAUAAAUUGUCCAGUUAUCAGUAAAAAAAAAAAAAAGAAAGAAAAGAUAAUGAAAUGGGUACAAUCUGCUUUACCACAUGGUUAAAUUCAGAAUUGACCCUAAAAGGCAGCACUGUGCUUGUUCAGACCUCAUCGUUCACAACACAUUAACGUUUUGAUUCUGCAUGCAAGCGCUACAAGCCAUGUAGAAAUCAAGAUUCCUUCAAAUUCAAAAGGAGUGAGAACUCAACUGAGCAGCUGAAGUCACUGGACCCUACACAGGGCCUUGAUCCUCACUCAUGAGGCAGAGAGGACAUGAAGGGGAAAGACUGACAAGGUUGUACUGAGGCCCUAAUGGCAUGGGUCUGAAAGACCUGGAGUGGGGACCGAGUUGAAACACUUGCCAGGAACUCAAGGAACAGCCACAGCAGAGGAGAAGCUGCUGGGCACAGGAGGGAGUGUAGGGAAUGUUCUCCGAAGGCCACGCUUGAUGGCACGCACACAGCAUGCUCUUAAGCAUGGUUCCUGUUAAAGCCAGAGAGGCACCAUCCAUCACUGAGGAAGUGGGGGGUACAUUGUGACCCGCCCCUGCUCCCCCGCGGCAUAACUGAAAACCGAGUGUGGACAGCAGUUCUCACAGCGCUUGGCUGCGUUUCCUCAUUCAGCUGGUGAGCCUCUCGGGAGAAGAGGGUUAAAAGAGAGACCAGGUAAAUUAAAACUAUCUGCACUGAUGGUUGCAACAAUUAGAACAGCAUUCCCCUUAAAAAGGCAGAGGCUCCCAAACUCUGUGGGUCCAACAGACCCUUUAUGAUGGUGGAGGUCCUUGUGGACCACCUAGCCCCACCAGCCAGUCCCCACUUAAAAGAAAAAUAAGGAGAAAACCCAGCCCGUUAGUGCAAAUGGGAGGCACUUAGAUGAGACACCAGUGAGGUGAUGUCUGGCUUUUUAUUAAUUACCAUAAGUAAAUUAAUAACCCAUGUCAGGAACGAAGGGAGAGACACUGUCCUGUUGUAAACCCUUGGAGACCACCAGCCAUCUAGGUAGGGCCCAGGUGCUCUGAGAACCAGGGGGAUAAUGGGAUUGGGCCACACCUUAGUGCCCCCUCCUACCCUCGCCAGCUCACACAGUUAACAGAGUUUUCUCAACAGAUCUGAACCCACGUGAGACUCGUGGUCUUGACCUCGAAUCCCCAAGUGGGUUCAGCCUCGUUAUGUUCACACCAGUGGCUCUGAGCACGUGCAGAUACAAAGAAGGCACAAGAGCCAUAAACAGCAUUUGCCUGUAUCAGAGGCCCUUGGGCAUGAACUUGUGAGGCCACAGUGAGAGGCAGCACAGGGUAAUGGUUAGAAGAGCAUGGACUCUGGAGCAGAUCCUCCUUCCUGGAAUCCUACCUCUGCCAUUUGCCAACCGUAGGGCCUUAGAUAAGCCACUUUACCCAUCUGGGGUUCAGCCUCCUCAUCUAUUAAACGGGCAUAAAUAGUUCCUGUCUCACGGGGCUGUCAUGGGGAUUAGGUGGGUUAAUAUUGGAGGAGGAUUUCUCAACUUUGGUACUACUACUAUUUGGGGCCAGAUAAUUCUUUGCUGUGGGGGCUGUCCUGUGUAUCAUAGGAUAUUUAACAGCAUCCCUAGCCUCUUCCCACAGAUGUGAAUAGCAACCACCACUGCCUCCCAUCUGUGACAAUCAAAAAUGUCUCCAGACAUUGCCAGAUGUCUCCUGGGGUGGGGGUAAAAUGGCCUUCAGUUGAGAAACACUGUCUUAGAUUAUGUUGUAGAUAAAAAUGGCCAAAUAUCAGCAUUUUUAUACACUGCAACAUAAUAAUUAUAAAGUGUUUAGUUAAAAAUCUAGAAAUUUUGUGUAUGUGUUUAUAUGCUUUAUCUGGGGUAAAGGAACCCAGUGCUUUCAACAGAUGCUCAGAAAAAUAAAAGCAUGGAGAAUCCUGGCCUGAGUUCAACUUUCAACAAGCAAACAGAAUUUUUGAGUCCUUAUCUGUAAAAUGGGUACAAUACCUACUUCCUUGGGUUCUUGGGAGGAUAGAGUGAGGGGAACAUAAGUGGAAUGCUUUUAUACACUGAGAAAUGUCAUAGAGAUGUCAUUAGAAUGCUGGCUGGCUGCCUUCUUGGAAUUUGGGGGCCAAGGUUGGUGAGGCAGGCAGGACCCCUUUCACAGCAAAUUCUUUGGAUUUCUGAAAAGGUGUUGGGAUAUGAGAAGAGUAUAUAUUUGGUGCAUUGUUAUGGAGGUGCUGGAAUGGGCGAUGUGACUGGCUGGAUAGGAAGGUUUCUUUGGGAAGGCACCAACCAUGGCUCAAACAAGAGGUGAAUAGGCGGCUUUAUCUGGAGUGCAGGCCCCAGGGUGGAUAGGUCAGUGACUGGCCACACCAUGGUGGAUCAGGGGAAUCGGAUCUCCACAGAACAAAUGACAGCAUGCUUUCUGAGCCCUGGUCCUCCUCUCCUGACAUUCCUUCUGCCCACAGAUGUACCGAGGCUUCACCAAGAUGCCCCACGUGCAGUACAUCCACACAGAAGCUUCUGAAAGUCUCUGUGGCCUGAAGCUAGAAGUCAACAAGUA